CCUACGGGUGGCAGCAGUGGGGAAUAUUGGACAAUGGGGGGAACCCUGAUCCAGCCAUGCCGCGUGUGUGAAGAAGGCCCUCGGGUUGUAAAGCACUUUCAGUGAGGAAGAACGCCUGGUGGUUAAUACCCAUCAGGAAAGACAUCACUCACAGAAGAAGCACCGGCUAACUCCGUGCCAGCAGCCGCGGUAAUACGGAGGGUGCGAGCGUUAAUCGGAAUUACUGGGCGUAAAGCGCGCGUAGGUGGCUUGAUAAGCCGGUUGUGAAAGCCCCGGGCUCAACCUGGGAACGGCAUCCGGAACUGUCAAGCUAGAGUGCAGGAGAGGAAGGUAGAAUUCCCGGUGUAGCGGUGAAAUGCGUAGAGAUCGCGAGGAAUACCAGUGGCGAAGGCGGCCUUCUGGACUGACACUGACACUGAGGUGCGAAAGCGUGGGUAGCAAACAGGAUUAGAUACCCUUGUAGUC
rnacentral:rRNA from 1 species